rnacentral:rRNA from 1 species
AUUGAACGCUGGCGGCAGGCCUAACACAUGCAAGUCGAACGGUAACAGGAAGACGCUUGCUUCUUUGCUGACGAGUGGCGGACGGGUGAGUAAUGUCUGGGAAACUGCCUGAUGGAGGGGGAUAACUACUGGAAACGGUAGCUAAUACCGCAUAACGUCGCAAGACCAAAGAGGGGGACCUUCGGGCCUCUUGCCAUCGGAUGUGCCCAGAUGGGAGUAGCUAGUAGGUGGGGUAACGGCUCCCCUCGGCGACGAUCCCUAGCUGGUGUGAGAGGAUGACCAGCCACACUGGAACUGAGACACGGUCCAGACUCCUACGGGAGGCAGCAGUGGGGAAUAGUGCACAAGGGGCGCAAGCCGGAUGCAGCCAUGCCGCGUGUAGGAAGAAGGCCUUCGGGUUGUAAAGUACUUUCAGCGGGGAGGAAGGGAGUAAAGUUAAUACCUUUGCUCAUUGACGUUACCCGCAGAAGAAGCACCGGCUAACUCCGUG